rnacentral:rRNA from 1 species
GGUUAAGCGACUAAGCGUACACGGUGGAUGCCCUGGCAGUCAGAGGCGAUGAAGGACGUGCUAAUCUGCGAUAAGCGCCGGUAAGGUGAUAUGAACCGUUAUAACCGGCGAUUUCCGAAUGGGGAAACCCAGUGUGAUUCGUCACACUAUCAUUAACUGAAUCCAUAGGUUAAUGAGGCGAACCGGGGGAACUGAAACAUCUAAGUACCCCGAGGAAAAGAAAUCAACCGAGAUUCCCCCAGUAGCGGCGAGCGAACGGGGAGGAGCCCAGAGCCUGAAUCAGCAUGUGUGUUAGUGGAAGCGUCUGGAAAGGCGCGCGAUACAGGGUGACAGCCCCGUACACAAAAGCGCAUGUGCUGUGAGCUCGAUGAGUAGGGCGGGACACGUGGUAUCCUGUCUGAAUAUGGGGGGACCAUCCUCCAAGGCUAAAUACUCCUGACUGACCGAUAGUGAACCAGUACCGUGAGGGAAAGGCGAAAAGAACCCCGGCGAGGGGAGUGAAAAAGAACCUGAAACCGUGUACGUACAAGCAGUGGGAGCACAGGUUUACCUGUGUGACUGCGUACCUUUUGUAUAAUGGGUCAGCGACUUAUAUUCUGUAGCAAGGUUAACCGUAUAGGGGAGCCGUAGGGAAACCGAGUCUUAACCGGGCGUUAAGUUGCAGGGUAUAGACCCGAAACCCGGUGAUCUAGCCAUGGGCAGGUUGAAGGUUGGGUAACACUAACUGGAGGACCGAACCGACUAAUGUUGAAAAAUUAGCGGAUGACCUGUGGCUGGGGGUGAAAGGCCAAUCAAACCGGGAGAUAGCUGGUUCUCCCCGAAAGCUAUUUAGGUAGCGCCUCGUGAAUUCAUCUCCGGGGGUAGAGCACUGUUUCGGCUAGGGGGCCAUCCCGGCUUACCAACCCGAUGCAAACUGCGAAUACCGGAGAAUGUUAUCACGGGAGACACACGGCGGGUGCUAACGUCCGUCGUGAAGAGGGAAACAACCCAGACCGCCAGCUAAGGUCCCAAAGUCAUGGUUAAGUGGGAAACGAUGUGGGAAGGCCCAGACAGCCAGGAUGUUGGCUUAGAAGCAGCCAUCAUUUAAAGAAAGCGUAAUAGCUCACUGGUCGAGUCGGCCUGCGCGGAAGAUGUAACGGGGCUAAACCAUGCACCGAAGCUGCGGCAGCGAACGUAUCACCCAAGACAACUUUACGGAGUUGACGAUUGACGGAGCGAAGCGACGUCAAAGCGUUCAUUAAAGUCGAGUUGGCUUAGGGAUACGUUCGUUGGGUAGGGGAGCGUUCUGUAAGCCUGUGAAGGUGUGUCGUGAGGCAUGCUGGAGGUAUCAGAAGUGCGAAUGCUGACAUAAGUAACGAUAAAGCGGGUGAAAAGCCCGCUCGCCGGAAGACCAAGGGUUCCUGUCCAACGUUAAUCGGGGCAGGGUGAGUCGACCCCUAAGGCGAGGCCGAAAGGCGUAGUCGAUGGGAAACGGGUUAAUAUUCCCGUACUUGGUGUUACUGCGAAGGGGGGACGGAGAAGGCUAUGUUGGCCGGGCGACGGUUGUCCCGGUUUAAGCGUGUAGGUGUGUGUUCCAGGUAAAUCCGGUUCACUUUAACACUGAGGCGUGACGACGAGGCACUACGGUGCUGAAGCAACAAAUGCCCUGCUUCCAGGAAAAGCCUCUAAGCAUCAGGUAACAUCAAAUCGUACCCCAAACCGACACAGGUGGUCAGGUAGAGAAUACCAAGGCGCUUGAGAGAACUCGGGUGAAGGAACUAGGCAAAAUGGUGCCGUAACUUCGGGAGAAGGCACGCUGACACGUAGGUGAAGUGAUUUACUCACGGAGCUGAAGUCAGUCGAAGAUACCAGCUGGCUGCAACUGUUUAUUAAAAACACAGCACUGUGCAAACACGAAAGUGGACGUAUACGGUGUGACGCCUGCCCGGUGCCGGAAGGUUAAUUGAUGGGGUCAGCGCAAGCGAAGCUCCUGAUCGAAGCCCCGGUAAACGGCGGCCGUAACUAUAACGGUCCUAAGGUAGCGAAAUUCCUUGUCGGGUAAGUUCCGACCUGCACGAAUGGCGUAAUGAUGGCCAGGCUGUCUCCACCCGAGACUCAGUGAAAUUGAACUCGCUGUGAAGAUGCAGUGUACCCGCGGCAAGACGGAAAGACCCCGUGAACCUUUACUAUAGCUUGACACUGAACAUUGAGCCUUGAUGUGUAGGAUAGGUGGGAGGCUUUGAAGUGUGGACGCCAGUCUGCAUGGAGCCGACCUUGAAAUACCACCCUUUAAUGUUUGAUGUUCUAACGUGGACCCGUAAUCCGGGUUGCGGACAGUGUCUGGUGGGUAGUUUGACUGGGGCGGUCUCCUCCUAAAGAGUAACGGAGGAGCACGAAGGUUGGCUAAUCCUGGUCGGACAUCAGGAGGUUAGUGCAAUGGCAUAAGCCAGCUUGACUGCGAGCGUGACGGCGCGAGCAGGUGCGAAAGCAGGUCAUAGUGAUCCGGUGGUUCUGAAUGGAAGGGCCAUCGCUCAACGGAUAAAAGGUACUCCGGGGAUAACAGGCUGAUACCGCCCAAGAGUUCAUAUCGACGGCGGUGUUUGGCACCUCGAUGUCGGCUCAUCACAUCCUGGGGCUGAAGUAGGUCCCAAGGGUAUGGCUGUUCGCCAUUUAAAGUGGUACGCGAGCUGGGUUUAGAACGUCGUGAGACAGUUCGGUCCCUAUCUGCCGUGGGCGCUGGAGAACUGAGGGGGGCUGCUCCUAGUACGAGAGGACCGGAGUGGACGCAUCACUGGUGUUCGGGUUGUCAUGCCAAUGGCACUGCCCGGUAGCUAAAUGCGGAAGAGAUAAGUGCUGAAAGCAUCUAAGCACGAAACUUGCCCCGAGAUGAGUUCUCCCUGAGACUUAGAGUCUCCUGAAGGAACGUUGAAGACGACGACGUUGAUAGGCCGGGUGUGUAAGCGCAGCGAUGCGUUGAGCUAACCGGUACUAAUGAACCGUGAGGCUUAACCUU